GCAAGCGUUAAUCGGAAUUACUGGGCGUAAAGCGCACGCAGGCGGUCAAUUAAGUCAGAUGUGAAAGCCCCGAGCUUAACUUGGGAAUUGCAUCUGAAACUGGUUGGCUAGAGUCUUGUAGAGGGGGGUAGAAUUCCACGUGUAGCGGUGAAAUGCGUAGAGAUGUGGAGGAAUACCGGUGGCGAAGGCGGCCCCCUGGACAAAGACUGACGCUCAGGUGCGAAAGCGUGGGGAGCAAACAGGAUUAGAUGCCCUGGUAGUCCACGCUGUAAACGAUGUCGAUUUAGAGGUUGUGGUCUUGAACCGUGGCUUCUGGAGCUAACGCGUUAAAUCGACCGCCUGGGGAGUACGGCCGCAAGGUUAAAACUCAAAUGAAUUGACGGGGGCCCGCACAAGCGGUGGAGCAUGUGGUUUAAUUCGAUGCAACGCGAAGAACCUUACCUACUCUUGACAUCCAGAGAAUCCUUUAGAGAUAGAGGAGUGCCUUCGGGAACUCUGAGACAGGUGCUGCAUGGCUGUCGUCAGCUCGUGUUGUGAAAUGUUGGGUUAAGUCCCGCAACGAGCGCAACCCUUAUCCUUUGUUGCCAGCGCGUGAUGGCGGGAACUCAAAGGAGACUGCCGGUGAUAAACCGGAGGAAGGUGGGGAUGACGUCAAGUCAUCAUGGCCCUUACGAGUAGGGCUACACACGUGCUGCAAUGGCAGAUACAAAGAGAAGCGACCUCGCGAGAGCAAGCGGAACCCAUAAAGUCUGUCGUAGUCCGGAUUGGAGUCUGCAACUCGACUCUAUGAAGUCGGAAUCGCUAGUAAUCGUAGAUCAGAAUGCUACGGUGAAUACGUUCCCGGGCCUUGUACACACCGCCCGUCACACCAUGGGAGUGGGUUGCAAAAGAAGUAGGUAGCUUAACCUUCGGGAGGG
rnacentral:rRNA from 1 species